rnacentral:misc_RNA from 1 species
AAGUCGUAACAAGGUUUCCGUAGGUGAACCUGCGGAAGGAUCAUUAACACUUUUUGUUGAUUGUUGGUUUUUUCUUAAAAACUGACAACCACAAUUAUCCUAUCCAAACUGAAGAGCUUGUGAGCAGUGUGCUUUUUUGUCUCUUUCUUUCGAGACAAAAAGCUGGCUCCCAUUUUCUCACUUUUUUCACUUUUAAACAAAAACCCCAAUCACACAAAUCUAAAUCAUUUGUGAGAUUGCAAACAAUCAAUUUGCUAUCUUGACAAUCUAAAAAACAACUUUUAAGAGAUUUACAUCUCAAAAUGUAACCAAACAACUCUUAACAACGGAUAUCUUGGCUCUC